UACGUAGGGUGCGAGCGUUAAUCGGAAUUACUGGGCGUAAAGCGUGCGCAGGCGGUUGUGCAAGACAGAUGUGAAAUCCCCGGGCUCAACCUGGGAACUGCAUUUGUGACUGCAUCGCUGGAGUGCGGCAGAGGGGGAUGGAAUUCCGCGUGUAGCAGUGAAAUGCGUAGAUAUGCGGAGGAACCCCAGAGGCGAAGGCGGCGCC
rnacentral:rRNA from 1 species